AGUGAACGCUGGCGGCGUGCCUAAUACAUGCAAGUCGAACGGCGUGGCGCACGGGUGAGUAAUGUAUAGCUAAUCUGCCCUACACUAGAUGACAACAGUUGGCAACGGCUGCUAAUACUCUAUAGUGUAGGAUGAGGUUAUAUUGUAUCAGCUAGUUGGGGAGGUAAUGGCGCACCAAGGCUAUGACGCAUAACUGGUAUGAGAGGAUGAUCAGUAACACUGUAACUGAGGCACGGUCCAGACUCCUUCGGGAGGGAGCAGUAGGGAAUAUUGCUCAAUGGGGGAAGCCCAAAAGCAGCAACGCCUCGUGGAGGAUGACACUUUUCGGAGCGGAAACUCCUUUUGUUAGGGAAGCGUUACCUAACGAAUAAGCACCGGCUAACUCCGUGCCAGCAGCCGCGGUAAUAC
rnacentral:rRNA from 1 species